UACAGGGGGGGGCAAGCGUUGUUCGGAAUUACUGGGCGUAAAGGGCUCGUAGGCGGCCGACUAAGUCCGACGUGAAAUCCCAAAGCUUAACUUUGGAACUGCGUCGGAUACUGGAUGGCUUGAAUUCGGGAGAGGGAUGCAGAAUUCCAGGUGUAGCGGUGAAAUGCGUAGAUAUCUGGAGGAAUACCGGUGGCGAAGGCGGCAUCCUGGACCGGUAUUGACGCUGAGGCGCGAAAGCUAGGGGAGCAAACGGG
rnacentral:rRNA from 1 species